CAGCCGCCACGGUAAUGCGAAGGGUGCAAGCGUUACUCGGAAUUACUGGGCGUAAAGCGUGCGUAGGUGGUGGUUUAAGUCCGUUGUGAAAGCCCUGGGCUCAACCUGGGAAUUGCAGUGGAUACUGGGUCACUAGAGUGUGGUAGAGGAUAGUGGAAUUUCCGGUGUAGCAGUGAAAUGCGUAGAGAUCGGGAGGAACAUCAGUGGCGAAGGCGGCCAUCUGGGACAACACUGACGCUGAGGCACGAAAGCGUGGGGAGCAAACAGGAUUAGAUACCCCUGUAGUCCCUGUCUCUUAUAC
rnacentral:rRNA from 1 species